rnacentral:tRNA from 1 species
AAACUAUUAUUUUAUGUUUUGAAAACAUAAAAAAGAUUUUUUAUCUGUAGUUUU